GACGAACGCUGGCGGCGUGCCUAAUACAUGCAAGUAGAACGCUGAAGAGAGGAGCUUGCUCUUCUUGGAUGAGUUGCGAACGGGUGAGUAACGCGUAGGUAACCUGCCUUGUAGCGGGGGAUAACUAUUGGAAACGAUAGCUAAUACCGCAUAACAAUGGAUGACACAUGUCAUUUAUUUGAAAGGGGCAAUUGCUCCACUACAAGAUGGACCUGCGUUGUAUUAGCUAGUAGGUGAGGUAAUGGCUCACCUAGGCGACGAUACAUAGCCGACCUGAGAGGGUGAUCGGCCACACUGGGACUGAGACACGGCCCAGACGCCUACGGGAGGCAGCAGUAGGGAAUCUUCGGCAAUGGGGGCAACCCUGACCGAGCAACGCCGCGUGAGUGAAGAAGGUUGUCGGAUCGUAAAGCUCUGUUGUAAGUCAAGAACGGGUGUGAGAGUGGAAAGUUCACACUGUGACGGUAGCUUACCAGAAAGGGACGGCUAACUACGUG
rnacentral:rRNA from 1 species